AAGCAGAGGACAGUGGCGGACGGGUGAGUAACGCGUGAGGAACCUGCCUUUCAGAGGGGGACAACAGUUGGAAACGACUGCUAAUACCGCAUGACACAUAGAUGUCGCAUGGCAUUUAUGUCAAAGAUUUAUCGCUGAAAGAUGGCCUCGCGUCUGAUUAGCUAGUUGGUGUGGUAACGGCAUACCAAGGCAACGAUCAGUAGCCGGCCUGAGAGGGCGGACGGCCACAUUGGGACUGAGACACGGCCCAGACUCC
rnacentral:rRNA from 1 species